UGGUUCCGUUCAAAGGCUUACCA
rnacentral:siRNA from 1 species